GAUGAACGCUGGCGGCGUGCCUAAUACAUGCAAGUCGAGCGAACGGACGAGAAGCUUGCUUCUCUGAUGUUAGCGGCGGACGGGUGAGUAACACGUGGAUAACCUACCUAUAAGACUGGGAUAACUUCGGGAAACCGGAGCUAAUACCGGAUAAUAUUUUGAACCGCAUGGUUCAAAAGUGAAAGACGGUCUUGCUGUCACUUAUAGAUGGAUCCGCGCUGCAUUAGCUAGUUGGUAAGGUAACGGCUUACCAAGGCAACGAUGCAUAGCCGACCUGAGAGGGUGAUCGGCCACACUGGAACUGAGACACGGUCCAGACUCCUACGGGAGGCAGCAGUAGGGAAUCUUCCGCAAUGGGCGAAAGCCUGACGGAGCAACGCCGCGUGAGUGAUGAAGGUCUUCGGAUCGUAAAACUCUGUUAUUAGGGAAGAACAUAUGUGUAAGUAACUGUGCACAUCUUGACGGUACCUAAUCAGAAAGCCACGGCUAACUACGUGCCAGCAGCCGCGGUAAUACGUAGGUGGCAAGCGUUAUCCGGAAUUAUUGGGCGUAAAGCGCGCGUAGGCGGUUUUUUAAGUCUGAUGUGAAAGCCCACGGCUCAACCGUGGAGGGUCAUUGGAAACUGGAAAACUUGAGUGCAGAAGAGGAAAGUGGAAUUCCGUGUGUAGCGGUGAAAUGCGCAGAGAUAUGGAGGAACACCAGUGGCGAAGGCGACUUUCUGGUCUGUAACUGACGCUGAUGUGCGAAAGCGUGGGGAUCAAACAGGAUUAGAUACCCUGGUAGUCCACGCCGUAAACGAUGAGUGCUAAGUGUUAGGGGGUUUCCGCCCCUUAGUGCUGCAGCUAACGCAUUAAGCACUCCGCCUGGGGAGUACGACCGCAAGGUUGAAACUCAAAGGAAUUGACGGGGACCCGCACAAGCGGUGGAGCAUGUGGUUUAAUUCGAAGCAACGCGAAGAACCUUACCAAAUCUUGACAUCCUUUGACAACUCUAGAGAUAGAGCCUUCCCCUUCGGGGGACAAAGUGACAGGUGGUGCAUGGUUGUCGUCAGCUCGUGUCGUGGGAUGUUGGGUUAAGUCCCGCAACGAGCGCAACCCUUAAGCUUAGUUGCCAUCAUUAAGUUGGGCACUCUAAGUUGACUGCCGGUGACAAACCGGAGGAAGGUGGGGAUGACGUCAAAUCAUCAUGCCCCUUAUGAUUUGGGCUACACACGUGCUACAAUGGACAAUACAAAGGGCAGCGAAACCGCGAGGUCAAGCAAAUCCCAUAAAGUUGUUCUCAGUUCGGAUUGUAGUCUGCAACUCGACUACAUGAAGCUGGAAUCGCUAGUAAUCGUAGAUCAGCAUGCUACGGUGAAUACGUUCCCGGGUCU
rnacentral:rRNA from 1 species